rnacentral:lncRNA from 1 species
CAGGCGCUGGCGGAGGCGGCGGCGGAGAAGGGCUCGCUGCAGGAGCAGCUGCGGGAGCUGCGGGGCGAGCGUGCCGAGCUGCAGCGGCGCGCGCAGGAGCUCGAGGCCCAGGGUCGGCAGCAGCAGGAGGUGAGGGAGCCACCGGGGCUGCAGGAAGCUUGCCGGGGCUUCCCCAAAGCCGGCCUGGGUGGGCGGCUGGGUGUCCCCCGUCUGGUGUCCCCUGUCCUUCCCUGUCCUCCCCAUCCAAUGUCCCCCAUGCUUUUCCAUCCAGCAUCACCCAUCCUUCCUCAUCCAGUGUCCUUCCCCAUCCAGCCUCUCCCAUCCCUGUCCCUACCCUGUCCUUCCCCAUCCAGUAUCUCCUGUCCUUCCCCGUCCGGUAUCUCCUGUCCUUCCCCAUCCAGCAUCUCCUGUCCUUCCCCGUCCAGCAUCUCCUUUCCUUCCUUGUCCAGUGUCCUUCCCCAUCCAGCAUCUCCCAUCCCUGUCCCUACCCCGUCCUUCCCUGUCCAGCAUCUCCUGUCCUUCCCNUCCAGCAUCUCCUGUCCUUCCUUGUCCAGUGUCCUUCCCCAUCCAGCAUCUCCCAUCCCUGUCCCUACCCCGUCCUUCCCUGUCCAGCAUCUCCCGUCCCUGUCCCUACCCCAUCCUUCCCUGUCCAGCACCUCCCGUCCCUGUCCCUAGCCUGUCCUUCCCCAUCCAGCGUCCACCAUCCUUCCCUGUCCUCCCUGUCCACCAUUCCUUGUCCUUCCUUGUCCUGUGUCCUCCCCAUUCUUCCCUGUCCCCCGUCCUCCUCAUCCAAAGUCCCCUGUCCUUCCUCAUCCAGCAUCCUCCUCAUCCAGUCUCCCCUGUUCCUCGUCCUUCCGUCUCCCAUCCUUUCUUGUCCAACAGCCUCCUCAUCCAGCAUCCCCUGUCUUUCCCUGUCCUUCAUCAUCCAACCGACCCUGUCCUCCCCAUCCAACUUCCCCCAUUCUAUGAUGUCCCUUAUUUUUCCCAUCCGGCAUCCUCCGGCGUCCCCCUUCCAUCCCCGGCGCGGCGCUCCCGGCGGGCCCCAGCUGCUGCGGCA